rnacentral:rRNA from 1 species
AUGCACGAGAGGGACCUUGCCUCCCUGCAGAAUAUAUAUAUUGCACCUACCGAGUCCAGAGACGUUGCAAUUAACAAUCGAGAGUGGCCACUCGUGGAAGCAACAACGAACGUAGUCACUCCGUCAAGCCGUCCGCUCUCUGUCCACGUGCCAACGGAGAUGGAAUGUGCCGACCAUUCCAUGGCGGAGGAGCCCAUGAGUCCUACCGGAAGAGGUAUGGAAGAGAUGGGUAUCUGCAUCGUCCUCGUGAUGGGGCUCGGCACGCCGGUGAACCUGCCUGUCUUCCGUGCCGGCAUCGAAACAGAACUAGUUACUCGUCUGCCACGCUUCCGCUGUAUUCCAGUAAUGGACGAGUCCGCCAAGGAUGGCAAUCCGCGAUGGGUGCAAACGGCUGUAAAUGUGGACGACCACAUCGUCAUCCCAAGACUGGAUGCUGCUGCCGUGGCAUCCGAUCCGGAAAAGGCCGUGGAGGACUACGUGGCAUCGCUGUCCCUGCUCCCGAUGGACAUGUGUCGUCCUUUCUGGGAGUUCCACUUCCUCGACUUCCCAACCUCCGAGGCGGCCUCCACGGUGGUGCUCCGUCUGCACCACUCCAUUGGCGACGGCACGUCCAUCACGACGCUCCUUGUGGCAGCGUCGCGCAGCAUGGUCAAUCCAGCAAGGCUGCCAGCUAUGCCGCCACCACCCAAGCGCACGGGCGCGAUCUACCAGCUGCCGCCACGGCCUCCGCUGUCUUCGGGUGAUUACCUUGCGCUGUUCGCGUGGGUUUGGUCAUGUUUUGUGCUGGCUUGGCACACACUCGUGGACAUGACGUUGAUUGUUGCAACAAUCCUGUUCUUGAGUGACCCACCCACGCUCUUCACCCGUCCGCGGGAUGGUGGCGAGUCUCGUCGCCGCAAGCGUUUCGUGCAUCGUACCCUUAGCUUUGACGACGUCAAGCUCAUCAAUACUGCCAUGAAUUGCACUAUAAACGAUGUGCUAGUUGGUGUGACUUCGGCGGCUCUUUCACAAUAUUACUUUAGAAAGUCUGGUGAGAGUAAUACUAAGAGAAUUGGUUUGCGGUCAUGUGUCCUUGUCGACGCAAGGCCGGUGUCUACCAGACAAACAUAUGUUACCAGGGUAGAGACAGGAAAUCAACUUACCGGCCUCAUCUGCCCGUUUAAUAUAACCUUGAAAGAUGAUCCCCUUGAGUAUGUUCACGAGGCAAAAAGGUUCAUGAAUAGGAAAAAGAAGUCUUUAGCAGUGAUGCUCACACGAGUGAUUGGUGAAUUCUUAGUCAAAAACUUUGGUCUGAAGACAGGAAGAUUUAUCUUUCACCGCUUUUUAACACGUACAACCAUAAUAUUUUCGAAUGCAAUUGGGCCAGCUGAACAUAUGACGUUAUGUGGGCACCCAGUUGCCUUCAUGGCACCUAGCAUCUAUGGCCAACCACAAGCUUUGACUGUGCACUACCAUAAUUAUGGUAGUGAUAUCAAGGUAGUUCUCGCAGUUGAUGACGAACAAUUUCAAGAUUGUCAUCAACUUUUGGGUGAUUUUGUUGAGUCCAUCAGGAUUAUGAAGAAUGCGGCAGCCCUGAAGAUGUUGACAACUUCGAACCAUAACGGUGUGACUGAGUAA